UACGGGGGGAGCAAGCGUUGUUCGGAUUUACUGGGCGUAAAGGGCGCGUAGGCGGCCAGCGCAAGUCAGUUGUGAAAUCUCCGGGCUUAACUCGGAACGGUCAACUGAUACUGCGCGGCUAGAGUGCAGAAGGGGCAACUGGAAUUCUCGGUGUAGCGGUGAAAUGCGUAGAUAUUGGGAGGAACACCAGUGGCGAAGGCGGCUCACUGGACCGGUACUGACGCUGAUGCGCGAAAGCGUGGGGAGCAAACGGG
rnacentral:rRNA from 1 species